rnacentral:rRNA from 1 species
CGGACGUGAGGAACCUGCCUUGAAGAGGGGGACAACAGUUGGAAACGACUGCUAAUACCGCAUGACGCAUAGAGGUCGCAUGAUCUUUAUGCCAAAGAUUUAUCGCUUCAAGAUGGCCUCGCGUCUGAUUAGCUAGUUGGCGGGGUAACGGCCCACCAAGGCGACGAUCAGUAGCCGGACUGAGAGGUUGAACGGCCACAUUGGGACUGAGACACGGCCCAG